AUUUAGUGAAAAGAACGUACAAAAGACAUGGAUUUAAGGAGUCUGAACUUAAAUCCAGUUCUGCCAUCUAUCAUUUGUAUGACCUUAUGCAAAUUAACCUCUCUGAGCCUCCAGUUCCUCAUUUGUAAAAUGAAGAUAAAAAUAGUAUUAUUUACUUCACAGAUUUAUGUCUGUAUUAAAUAAGGUAAUAUAAGCACAAAGGGAUUUGAAAACCAUAAGGACUACAUAGAUUAUUACCAUUGCACCAUUAAAAGUAAAUUUUUAUAAAACAUACUCUUGGGUUUUAUUUCAGUAUUGACUUUGAACAGAAAAGAGUGCUUAUGCUAUUCACAAGCAGUGAAGGCUAUUAUAAAUAUUAAUGUAAGAGGUCUAGAUAUUAAAUCACAUCCUACUGCUGAGAGAUUCUAACCUGCCUAAGAUUCUAACAUGUUAUCUCAAUUUCACUGAAAGAGCAGGAUGAAGGGAGGAAGAUAUAGCCAGCCAGAGAAGGGAGAAGAGGAGAAACAUCUGGAAAAUAUCAGUGUUGCAGAGCCUCCCGGAAACUGACCUCGCCACCGAAAGGUCAUUUCUCAGCAUCUGUGGGAGAUUGGUUCCAAGACCCUUGAGGAUACCAAAAUCCGAAGAUGCUCAAGUCUCAUAUAAAAUGGUGAAUGGGGUCAAAAUGGAAACAGCAUGAGAGGGGCCACAGAAGGGAUUCACCAGGAAGAAGAGGAAAGGUGGGGCUGAGGUGGCCAGGACAGCACGACAUCACAUCUGACCAAGGCAUCCUCAGCCUUCCUUCAGAAAAGCAGCAGAAGGAAAAAGGUAUCAAAAAUCACAGUGUGGAACUCAGGCUUGAAAGAAACCUUAGAUGUUGUCUAUUCUUUUUUUUUUUUUUUUUU
rnacentral:lncRNA from 1 species